GCACCUCCAAUGUCCCGGCAGCUUUUCUGUGUCCUAGCUCCUUCUGAGGGCCUGUUGGAAGAACUUCUUGGAGGCACCACAGAGGUCGGAGGCCCCAACUCCCACCAAGAGUGGAUUGUCGGGAGCCUAAUAGGAGUACCAAGGAUGAAGACUCUCCAGGAAAGCCACAAAACCCAAGGGAGCCCCCUGAUGGCCAUUCUGCAUGUGACCGCGCAAGGGAAACAGGAAGGUGGUAAGAACCAGAGCACGUAAAUGAAGGAUGCCCUGGGAUCAUCUCUCCUGGAAACUGAUACCUGCUCCAUAUUUCUAUGGGAGCAGGGCCCUGAAUUCCCCCAGUUCGGGCUGCUGGGAAAAGUGAGGAGGACAGAGGUCUCAAGCCAGCAGGGCGGCUCACCUGUGUCUCUGCAGCAGAUGCUGCUUAGACACCUGGGAAGGAACUGCCCUGCAGGCGUCGGCUGGGGCCUCAGAGCAUCUGGACUUGCAACGUGUCUGGAAGUUUAACGGGACAGGAGGCCAAGGACCAAGGUCUGCCCCGCUGUGGCUCCUCUGUCCCAGCCAGCUAACACAGUGCGGAGAGACGUUUUACAGUUAAUGCUGGAGGUUUUCACAUGAAGCAGAAUUUAUCUCCUGCGAGUUUUAUCUUUAAAACCUUCUUAUGUAAAAUGAAACACAAACAAACACAGAACAGCACUGCAAGCAAAGGUAGCAGUCGCUGAAUUGGUGUGGGCACCGCACUCUGUUCACUCUGUGAAAGCCCAAAUGCUUCUGAGAAGCUUCUCUCAGCUUCCUUGCCCUGCCCCCAUGCUUCCGUCGUGGAAAUUGCAUUCUCCCAGCUCUCCAGGGACUCCACUGCCAUCCCAGGCUGCUGCCACAAAUAUUUUUGGGCCACUUAUGUAUAAUUGGCAUGCUUGGGAUAUUCAUGGAGUAGCUGAUUUCAUGCCUGUAUCCUAAAAUUGGUGACGACAUUGACGUCCUUCUACCAGAGGCUGUCAGGGGGCUGGAGCCGACCUGCAUACUGGCCAGCGGGUUGGCUGCCGACGGGUUUAUAAGAAACCGUAGAGCUGCACACUUAAAUGCGUGCCCCGUAAAAAUAUGGGGAGUGAGCAGCAAUUAAAAACCAGACCCAUAACAUAUAAAUUUUCACAGGAAGCAAACCAGCAAACACCAGUCCUCAUUAAUCAGCACCAACAGUUCACCCAGGCUUGGUGGGUGAAGGUCAAGCUAAUUCACUAGAGACCUGUCAUGUGGGCAGUUGGCUUGGACAUGCCUGGACUCUGAGCCACCUGGGGGCCAAGCAGAACAGUGGACAGAUUCCCCAGGAGCUCACAUCGGGCAGCUGAUGUGUGAAGAUGCUGAGGGAGGAGGAACACAGAUUGGAGCCCCUGACACUUCAAGGGACUUCCUUUCAGGGAGAUGUCAUGUUGAGAUUUCCUUCCUUUUAAGGCAGAAUCAUAGCCCACUGUAUGGAUAGACCACAUUGUCUCUAACCAUUUGUUCAUCAGUGGACAUGAAGUUGUUUCUAGAGCUUGGCUUUUGUGAAUAGUGCUGCAGAACAUGGGCAGAUAUCUCCCUGAAAUCCAGAUUUCAAUUCUUUCUGGUAUAUUACCCAAAAGUAGGAUUUCUGGAACCAGUGGUAGGUCUUUUGUAAAUUUUUUGAAGAAGUUCCGUAUUGUUUUUCAUAGUGACUGCAUCAGUUUACAUUCUCUGUUGGGUAUUUUAAGGAUACACCAACUCCAAGACCUUCCUAAAGCCCACUCUGACUCAGGUGGCUUUGCUAGGCAAAUGAUGAACAAUGGGAUCAGAAGUUUGAACUCUGAUAAAGUUAUCACUCAUUUUUCUGUGGUCUUCUGAUAGCAAGAUGUCAACUGCUCUUUCUAUUGUAAUGCAUUUCCCAGGGUCUGUGGUCAAGAAAAUAAAGAUGAAGAUUAGAAAAAGGUCUAGUCGAUCUGCUCUCAGCUUCCAAAAGUAGGCCAGAAAAACCCAUAUCUGGGGAGAGGACCAAGGACAUCCAGUGAAUGACUCAAGUGAC